UGGGGUAUAUUGGACAAUGGGCGACAGCCUGAUCCAGCCAUGCCGCGUGUGUGAAGAAGGUCUUCGGAUUGUAAAGCACUUUAAGUUGGGAGGAAGGGCAGUAAGCGAAUACCUUGCUGUUUUGACGUUACCGACAGAAUAAGCACCGGCUAACUCUGUGCCAGCAGCCGCGGUAAUACAGAGGGUGCAAGCGUUAAUCGGGAUUACUGGGCGUAAAGCGCGCGUAGGUGGUUCGUUAAGUUGAAUGUGAAAGCCCCGGGCUCAACCUGGGAACUGCAUCCAAAACUGGCGAGCUAGAGUAGGGCAGAGGGUGGUGGAAUUUCCUGUGUAGCGGUGAAAUGCGUAGAUAUAGGAAGGAACACCAGUGGCGAAGGCGACCACCUGGGCUCAUACUGACACUGAGGUGCGAAAGCGUGGGGAGCAAACAGG
rnacentral:rRNA from 1 species